AUAGCAUGAUAAUUAAUACAUUUUUAAAUCAAUCACUUUGUCUCUGCACAAUGAACAUUAUCAAAUAUUAUUAAUGUUGUAAAAUAUAUUGUUCAUUGUUAGUUCAUAUUAGCUAAGGCAUUACCAAAUGUUAAGGAAUAAACUAUUGUAGUAAAGUGUUACUAAAUUUUCUUUUACCAUUUCCUUCACAAUGUCUACUUAUUUCUAUGGCUAACAGAUUUUGUAACAUUUGUAUUUUUUACAGUCUUACCAUUGCUUGUAAGCUGGAUUGGGUAAGAUGGAUCAUCUUUAAAGGCACCAGGCAAGUACAUGAUGUACAGUUACAAGUCAUGUAUUUUUUCGACUGCAAUAUUAAAUGCUUUCACGUCACAUGCAAAAUUACACAGGAAUGUGGCUGACUUUUUAUUUGUAGUUUACCUGAGUGUCAUUGCACUUUUCAGGAGUUAAGGCAGAUGUGGAGGCACAACGGGUGAUACCAGACACACACCAAGCACAUUAUGUUCGGACAUUCAAUCAUGACAUGAUCCAUGUGGAUGCUGUCCAUUGAGGAAAGAGUUUGUUCAGCGGUUUCUGGAUAGAAUUAAUUCCAAAGAUGGGAAAAAGUGCACAUCCAGACAAGGAGCAAGCAAAUGGACAAGGAACUUGGUGCAGAGAAAAGCUGUGGCCAUUAACCCCCAUGUGAACAGCUUCAUGCAGUCCCUGAUUGAGUUCGAAUGGACGACUUCAAAGUAAAGGCCACUGUGGUCUGUCUGCCACAGUUUAAUGCAUUUAUUUUUAGUGUUAAAUGAAAUUCAAGUAGAAUAUUUAAAACUAUGGGCCAGUGUUCUUUUUACCACAGUGAAAUGUUACCUUUUAGUCGAUGAUGGACUUUAAACUGAAAACUUCAAACUAUGGACCAGUGUUCUAUUUGCCAGAGUUAAAUAUGUUACAGCAGGGGUCU